rnacentral:lncRNA from 1 species
CCAUAAAAUGAAACUGAAAUAUUGUACUGCCUUAGCUCUCAUUCCAUUUGUUUUAUUCUUAUGUGAAACUUUCUUUCCUACAGAUUUUGAUCCGAUUUCAGAUCCAAAGGAACUUGAUAGUGAUUCCCAAAUCUGUCAACCCAAGUCGGAUUAGAGAGAAUAUUCAGGUAUUUGAUUUUGAAUUAACUGAAAAAGAUAUGGAGGAACUUCUCAGCCUCGACAAGAACCUCCGCUUGGCCACCUUCCCCUCAACUGAAAAUCAUAAGGACUAUCCUUUCCACAUAGAGUACUAAAGACAGCCUCACUCUCCGUCAUUUCUGCCCAGUGGAAACAGAUCUCCAGGGUCAGCAGCACUGAUCCACCUCUGCAGAGGCUGUGUGGUCCCUGCGUGGCCACAGCAACAGACGCAGCCACAGCCAAGAAUGACAACAGAGUCGGAACAAGGAAAACUCUGCCUAGAACAGAACCAGUUCGGAGAAAAAUAAAGAUCUAGGGAUGAGAAAGGGAGGUACCACAAGGCGUGUGGCUGCUUCCAAGUUGUUAUGGAAAGCCAAGCGCCAAGAAUAAUGUAAUUUAUGUCAGUUAGCCCUAGUCCUUGUGGCUUCUAUUCUAGGAAGCGAGAUGCUGAUUGCUCAUGAAUUAAAGUUACCUUCACAUUUU